AGAGAGAGACAGAGAAAUGGGAGGAGGAGGGAAGAAGAGGGGGAAGAAAGAGAAAGAUGAAGGGAGGAAGGAAGAAAGUAUUUUUUUAUGAGUGCCUGUAAUUUAAUCAGGGAGGGAACCACGGUUUCAAAAGCAACAUCCCUUGUACCAAAAUGAACAUGUCCGCAUCUGUUCUCUAACAGUCUUAGCGAGUUGCCUUUACCACUAAGAGAUUAAGUUCCCUGGGGUCACAUUGCUGGCACAGAGAGCAUCAUCAUGGGGUUCGAGAGUCCUAGCUUCUCACUCUCUGGCUGACUCUGGGUGAGUCCCUCCACCUGAGUCUGAGUUUUCCACUUGCAAAAUGUGGAUAAUCACAUGCAUGUUCUUCUCUAACUCAAAGGCUUGUUUGUGAUGAACCAGAGAAAAAGCAGGCGGGCCUACUAAGUGGCCCAGCUGUGGGCUCUUUAGCACCUGAUUAGUCAAGCCUUUCCUUCAGUCUUUGAAAUAAGGGCAGUAAGUAAAGGUGCUUAAGUUGGCAGGGUUUGAGAAAGUUUAAGCAGUCAAGAGUUCAAGGUGGAGGCCAUUUGCUUGCUUACUAAGGCCUUCCUUUUGAACUUCCUACCAAAAUUUAAAAAAAAAAAAAAUCUGUUCAUUAAGAAAAAGGAACUGAAAAGUUAUUUCCAGAAGUGUUCACAUCUCUGCCCAAGGAAAGCUCAUCCAGAUAAUUCAUCUCCGUGAAAGCCAAGGAUUCAAGCCAUUUGGGAAACGAGGGAGUACUUUGCUGUCAAAAUACACCUUCAGGAUUGAUUCAGAGGUGCUUCUUCCAUGAAGCCUUUCAUGAUUUGACUCUCAGCUGAAAGAUUCAGCAAUGACACUCAGAACACUGCAGGAGUUGGAAAGUUGUCAUCCUUCCUUGGCAUUCCAAGCAGGAGCAUCUCCUGUGGUCAAAAGCAUUAAUAUCCUUUACAGAGACCUGACCAGGGAGGUGUUCAAGAGAAGGGUCACCAUGAGUCAGAGAAUAAUGAAGCUAGGAUUCUCUUCUCCCUCCGGCACAACUUCUCCUAUACUCCUUGUUCCCCCACCACCUCCUCCAUCUCCUAUCGAGGGCUAUGGAAACCCUAGUAGGCUUCUGAAAGGUCCCGAAAUCUCUGAUACUUGACUGAAGUAACUCACACUGAGUUUUGUCUCGUGCGUCUCCAAGGGAACAAGCAACUUCAGAUACAUCUCUGUUUUGCACCCAUUUUCCACUGUGAGUGAGAGUUUUGUUCCCUUGACCUCAAUUGUUAUUCUUUGGCGGAGGUGUUUUUAAAAAUUCUUUUUAAACCAAAGUUUUGACAUGUAGUAAAUAUAGUUUUUGGGGUCUUUGAUGUUAUAUUGUAGAAUACUUGUUGUCUUUUGUAAUUGGUGAAAGUAAUAAAACCUUGAAAGUGUGAGACUUCAA